GGCAUGCCUAAUACAUGCAAGUCGAACGAGAAAGUUCCUUCGGGGACGAUUAAAGUGGCGCACGGGUGAGUAACGCGUAGACAAUCUGCCCUUCAGUCUGGGACAACUUUUCGAAAGGAGAGCUAAUACCGGAUGACAAUAUAACACAUAAGUGUCAUAUUUGAAAGCUCCGGCGCUGAAGGAGGAGUCUGCGUCCCAUUAGCUAGUUGGUAAGGUAAAGGCUUACCAAGGCAACGAUGGGUAGCGGGUUUGAGAGGACGAUCCGCCACACUGGAACUGAGACACGGUCCAGACUCCUACGGGAGGCAGCAGUAGGGAAUAUUGCACAAUGGAGGAAACUCUGAUGCAGCAAUGUCGCGUGAGUGAAGAAGGCCCUUGGGUCGUAAAGCUCUUUUAUGGGGGAAGAUGAUGACGGUACCCCAAGAAUAAGCACCGGCUAACUACGUGCCAGCAGCCGCGGUAAUACGUAGGGUGCGAGCGUUGUUCGGAAUUACUGGGCGUAAAGGGCGCGCAGGCGGAAUAGCAAGUCGGAGGUGAAAGCCCGGGGCUCAACCCCGGAGGGUCUUUCGAAACUGCUAAUCUAGAGAGGGUCAGGGGCCAGCAGAAUUCUUGGUGUAGAGGUGAAAUUCGUAGAUAUCAAGAGGAAUACCGGUGGCGAAAGCGGCUGGCUGGGGCCACUCUGACGCUGAGGCGCGAAAGCGUGGGGAGCAAACAGGAUUAGAUACCCUGGUAGUCCACGCCGUAAACGAUGAGCACUGGAUGUCCGGAGGGUUCGACCCUUCUGGGUGUCUCAGCUAACGCAUUAAGUGCUCCGCCUGGGGAGUACGGUCGC
rnacentral:rRNA from 1 species